rnacentral:tRNA from 3 species
CAGCCGCUUUUUUAUAAAGGCAGGGCAGUUGGCUUUUAACCAAUCAGUCGAAUGGUUCGAAUCCUUCACGGCAGUCCA